UACGGAGGGUGCGAGCGUUAAUCAGAAUUACUGGGCGUAAAGCGCACGCAGGCGGUUUGUUAAGCUAGAUGUGAAAGCCCCGGGCUCAACCUGGGAUGGUCAUUUAGAACUGGCAGACUAGAGUCUUGGAGAGGGGAGUGGAAUUCCAGGUGUAGCGGUGAAAUGCGUAGAUAUCUGGAGGAACAUCAGUGGCGAAGGCGACUCCCUGGCCAAAGACUGACGCUCAUGUGCGAAAGUGUUGGUAGCGAACAGG
rnacentral:rRNA from 1 species